CAUCCUCGUCGUCUUUGUUUUUGGGCUUGCUUCUAGCAGCAGCCAACACUGGAGUAGAAGUGGAUGGGGCAGCGGGGUGGACGCCAGAGCCUCCAAUGUCAUCGUCUUCAGGUACAACAGAAGGAUCCUGAGAUGCAGCAGGAGCUUGAGUAUCCAACUCAUCAGGACCAACGGGCGAAUCGGGUGGCGUUUCCUCUUGCUCCUCAUAAGCUGCUUCGAAUGGAUCCUUGGAUUGCUUCAUUGGCCUUUGUCCUUCAACUU
rnacentral:misc_RNA from 1 species